rnacentral:rRNA from 1 species
UACGUAGGGAGCAAGCGUUGUCCGGAAUCAUUGGGCGUAAAGCGCGCGUAGGCGGCUUCGUAAGUCCGUUGUGAAAGUCAAAGGCUCAACCUUUGAAAGCCGAUGGAUACUGCGGAGCUAGAGUACGGAAGAGGCGAGUGGAAUUCCUGGUGUAGCGGUGGAAUGCGCAGAUAUCAGGAGGAACACCAAUAGCGAAGGCAGAUCGCCAGGCUGAAACUGACGCUGAGGCACGAAAGUGUGGGGAUCGAACAGG